UACGCACGAGGAGAUCGAGCGAGCGCCCGAGCGCGCCCGUCCUCGCAGCCUCCUCCCACUAUUCCCCGCACUCGAGCCCCACGAGAGGAGCUCCUCCUGUGGUUUUGCACGCCGCCGCCGGCGACCACCAGCCACAGCUUGCCGGAGCCAGCAAAUGGGUGCCACCCUUCUUCUCUGUUCUCUUCUUCCCGUGCUCUCUUUCUUCCUCCUUUUUCUCUCUCACACAUAUUGAUUUCUCGCUCUGUCUCAAACAGUGCACUCCGCCGCCAUGGGUGCUCGCGUCCCCGACCUUGCAGCGCUCUGCCCCGAUGCCAAGUCCCUCCUUACCGUUCCUGCGCAGCCGAGCCAAAGCCUCGCCCAAGUCCAAGCGCCGCCGCUGUUUGCCUCCUUGCCAUGGCCUCCCCUGCUUCGUCUGCUUCACCGACAGAGCUCUGUCUCCGUCAACGUGUCCUCCCGCCGUCUCUGUUCGCCGCCGGGCUCGAUCGACUCCAGCAGCACCCCCACGGUGAUGCUUCGCUCGGCACCCGAGGUUUAACUUAUUUGCAAGCUUCUGCUCCAAGAUGGCAAUAACUGAUGCAUACUCUGCUAUUUCACCUUGUGCUACCGGGAAAAUCACAUGUGCUGGAUGGCUUGAGGCAGGCAAAAAUGACAACGACGAAGGUAGUGCAGUUCAGCGCCAUCCACUCUGGCAUUGAACACAAACAGGUCAACCCUGGAGUGUAUGGCGUUGAACGUGUUUGUUCCACCAAAGUGCUAAGUUUUUUCAAAUACCAAAGUGCUAACAUGGAAAGUGCUAUGGAACAAGAGGUACCAGAAGGUGGAGAACAAAAGAGUGAUGUUGCUAUUGUUGCAAACCUUUUCUCACUAAAGAAUGUCCCUCCAACACGUUUCUCCCUCACUGGUUGUGUUGUUUUGGUUGGUGCCAUCUUAUGAACCUGUGGUGUAAUGAUACUGCUGGGCCUAACUUAAUGAAAUCCUGGAGAAUUACACUAUUAUUAUCAUUAUAUUCUCAUUUGUUGGCUGA